UUGAAAUAAGGUCAUAAAUACCAUAUUUCGUUUAAAUUGAUGGUUUUCUACACAACACUAUUUUGGAUGUGAAAUACCGAUCAAUGUUUCAUAUCAACAUGUCCUCAGCAAUUGUGCAAAUAACCUCUAUAUUAACGUAAUGUAUACAUAAUGUUAAUCUUUAAACGUAUUAUCCUUUGACAAAAGUAAAAUUUGUAAAACUCUUGUAUGUUUUUAAUGUUUUUUGUCUAUCUAUUCAUUAAAUAUACAGUUAAGAAAUGGCGUAAAGACUACCGCUGUGGAGGCAGUUACACUACAGCAGGCGGGAUUAGAGCUGAGUGUAACCCUGGCGGUCAUGCCCCGUGCUGCUCUCCUCACAACUGGUGUGGGAGCACUGCAGCUCACUGUAACUGUGCGGGCUGUGUCGACUACCGUAACACAGGAAAGUAGUGCGGCCACACCAGUUCCGGACAGUAUGGAGAAUCGUCCCGAGGAUACAGUUCUAUUUUGCUUGCGGCUUUACUGGUAUAUCCAUCUUUGCAUGUUCCUUUUAACUUAGUGUAUCAAUUUUCAUGUACUGUCUUAACAGAAACUUGAUUUUAUGAAUGACAUCUGCAAGGUUUUUCAUUGCUUUUUACAAUAAUGAAUGAUGCCACGUUUACACAGACACCAUCCCCAACCCCUAAAUGCAAACAAAGAGAAAAAGGUAGUUAUCUUUUUUCCAAUCGUUUUGCCACGAUUUCUGUUAUAAUUACUAAUUUUACUAG